UUAAAGAACUUGAAAUAUUUUUCUGAGGGGAAAGUCUUUGUUCAGGUUCAACAAGGGAAUGUUUGCCCUGGGCAUGUUUCUCUGCAGUUUACGAGAGUGGAGUUUUGGUGUCUCUUUGUACAUGCAGUAGUAAUGUGGUGAGUCUGAGUUUCAACUCCAAUAUAAAAUCUAAGAUGCCAAGAAAAAAUAUUCAAAUGGAUAAUUUAAAAAUUGCAAGUUAAAAAUUAAAUCUCAUAGGUAAAUACAAGCUUAUUUGCUAAUAUGCUGAAUUAUCCUUUAGUUUUCUAAGGACAUAUAUAGAAUAUGGUUUAAACAUGUUCUGUGGAGAACAAUGCCAAAUCAAACUUAUAUAACUUUCCCUUUUAAUAUAAAGAAUCAAAUUUAGAAAUACUCUUAUAAAAUUAAAAUACUUUCUAAUUUAUAUAUAAUAUAAAUAUAUAUGAUGUGUUUUUCUAACAUGCUAAAUCUUUGGCUUUAAAUUUACUAUUUAUGUCAAAAUUUUGAGAAAAUUGUGUUUUCUCUCACAUGUAAUAUAAGUGAUUAAAUAUAGUGUAUCCUCUAGUUAUUUUGUGACUACUGAGAGUUUCAGACAAUAGUAUUCCCAUUCUCAGUGAAUAAUUGCUAAUGAAUGGCUACAUGAAAAUAUUUAGAAAUCUGUUUGUAUUGCAUAAGCCAUUAGAUUUUGCCCCAGGUAUAUUAAGGGUUUUCAGAAUAUGAGCCAAUAAUAUGUACAAUAGUUUACAGAGAGAAAUGACACAGUUUGCAAUCAUCACUGAGUUUUGUACUUAUUUGGUAUGGUAUAUUAGUGAUUUAGAAAACUGUUGAGAAACACCUUAUAAAUGUAAAUUCUCAGAGAAAAAUCUUUAAUAUAAAUAUAAUUUAUAUAAUAUAUAAAUAUAUAGUAUGUAAUAUUAUAUAUUAAAUAUGAAUAUAUAAUAUUAUAUACUAUAUAAUAUUAUAUAAAUAUAUAACAUUUAUUUACAUAAUAUAAAUUAAUAAUAUACAUAAUUAUAUAAUAUAAAUGUAGGAAGAUAUUCAUACAACCUGAUAUCCUAGGAAAUUCUAGUUUAUUGUGUGACAUGAGCCACUGUUUCUAGAGGAAGCUCAAUGACAGUCACACUUAGUAGUUAAAUUGUUAUUACUGUGAUAUGUGGAUCUGGGCAACACUUAUGUUCCCAUUCACAAGGGCUGGGGAAUCCUUCUGCAUGUAUAUAAGGUGUAUGGGUAGAUAUUCUGAUCUUGAAGUGAAGAUUAAUCUACAAAAGUUAUGCUAGGUAGAAGAAAGCCAACCUAUUGAUAAAAGAACAUUGCUACUGCCUUUAUUGGAGAAUGUACUGAAAU
rnacentral:lncRNA from 1 species